rnacentral:snRNA from 2 species
AUACAUUUUUCGGUCUUUUGGCUAAGAUCAAGUGUAGUAUCUUUCUUAUUAGUUUAAUAUCUGAUAUGUGGCUUAAUAAGUCAUAUGAUAUUGCAUUAUUGCAUAGGUUGACGCACUCUAU